rnacentral:rRNA from 1 species
UUAAGGGCGCACGGUGGAUGCCUUGGCACCAGGAACCGAUGAAGGACGUGGGAGGCCACGAUAGGCCCCGGGGAGUCGUCAACCAGGCUUUGAUCCGGGGGUGUCCGAAUGGGGAAACCCGGCAGUCGUCAUGGGCUGUCACCCUUGCCUGAACACAUAGGGCAAGUGGAGGGAACGCGGGGAAGUGAAACAUCUCAGUACCCGCAGGAAGAGAAAACAACCGUGAUUCCGGGAGUAGUGGCGAGCGAAACCGGAUGAGGCCAAACCGUAUGCGUGUGAGACCCGGCAGGGGUUGCGUAUACGGGGUUGUGGGAUCUCUCUUCUGUUGUCUGCCGGCAACAGGACGAGUCAGAAACCGUUGAUGUAGGCGAAGGACAUGCGAAAGGUCCGGCGUAGAGGGUAAGACCCCCGUAGCUGAAACAUUGACGGCUCGUUUGAGAGACACCCAAGUAGCACGGGGCCCGAGAAAUCCCGUGUGAAUCUGGCGGGACCACCCGCUAAGCCUAAAUAUUCCCUGGUGACCGAUAGCGGAUAGUACCGUGAGGGAAUGGUGAAAAGUACCGCGGGAGCGGAGUGAAAUAGUACCUGAAACCGUGUGCCUACAAGCCGUGGGAGCGUCGGACAUCAAGCUUGCUUGGUGUCUCGUGACUGCGUGCCUUUUGAAGAAUGAGCCUGCGAGUUUGCGGUGUGUUGCGAGGUUAACCCGGGUGGGGUAGCCGUAGCGAAAGCGAGUCCGAACAGGGCGUUUUAGUAGCACGCUCAAGACCCGAAGCGGAGUGAUCUAGCCAUGGGCAGGUUGAAGCGGAGGUAAGACUUCGUGGAGGACCGAACCCACCAGGGUUGAAAACCUGGGGGAUGACCUGUGGUUAGGGGUGAAAGGCCAAUCAAACUCCGUGAUAGCUGGUUCUCCCCGAAAUGCAUUUAGGUGCAGCGUCGUGUGUUUCUUGCCGGAGGUAGAGCACUGGAUAGGCGAUGGGCCCUACCGGGUUACUGACCUUAGCCAAACUCCGAAUGCCGGUAAGUGAGAGCGCGGCAGUGAGACUGUGGGGGAUAAGCUCCAUGGUCGAGAGGGAAACAGCCCAGAGCAUCGACUAAGGCCCCUAAGCGUACGCUAAGUGGGAAAGGAUGUGGAGUCGCAGAGACAACCAGGAGGUUGGCUUAGAAGCAGCCACCCUUGAAAGAGUGCGUAAUAGCUCACUGGUCUAGUGAUUCCGCGCCGACAAUGUAGCGGGGCUCAAGCGUACCGCCGAAGUCGUGUCAUUGCGAUAUAUACCCCCAACAGGGAUCGUGAUGGGUAGGGGAGCGUCGUGUGCCGGGUGAAGCAGCCGCGGAAGCGAGUUGUGGACGGUUCACGAGUGAGAAUGCAGGCAUGAGUAGCGAUACAAACGUGAGAAACGUUUGCGCCGAUUGACCAAGGGUUCCUGGGUCAAGCUGAUCUGCCCAGGGUAAGUCGGGACCUAAGGCGAGGCCGACAGGCGUAGUCGAUGGAUAACCGGUUGAUAUUCCGGUACCCGCUGUGAAGCGUCAAACAUUGAACCAGGCGAUGCUAAGUCCGUGAAGCCGUCCCGGAUCCUUCGGGUGAAGGGGAGUGGUGGAGCCGACGGACCAGACUUGCAGUAGGUGAGUGAUGGGGUGACGCAGGAAGGUAGUCCAUCCCGGGCGGUGGUUGUCCCGGGGUAAGGGUGUAGGCCGUGCGAUAGGUAAAUCCGUCGCACACAAGGCUGAGACCUGAUGCCGAGCCGAUUGUGGUGAAGUGGAUGAUCCUAUGCUGUCGAGAAAAGCCUCUAGCGAGUUUCAUGGCGGCCCGUACCCUAAACCGACUCAGGUGGUCUGGUAGAGAAUACCGAGGCGUUCGGGUGAACUAUGGUUAAGGAACUCGGCAAAAUGCCCCCGUAACUUCGGGAGAAGGGGGGCCAUCACUGGUGAUCCGAUUUACUCGGUGAGCUGGGGGUGGCCGCAGAGACCAGCGAGAAGCGACUGUUUACUAAAAACACAGGUCCGUGCGAAGCCGUAAGGCGAUGUAUACGGACUGACGCCUGCCCGGUGCUGGAACGUUAAGGGGACCGGUUAGUCACUCUUCGGGGUGGCGAAGCUGAGAACUUAAGCGCCAGUAAACGGCGGUGGUAACUAUAACCAUCCUAAGGUAGCGAAAUUCCUUGUCGGGUAAGUUCCGACCUGCACGAAUGGCGUAACGACUUCUCGACUGUCUCAACCAUAGGCCCGGUGAAAUUGCACUACGAGUAAAGAUGCUCGUUUCGCGCAGCAGGACGGAAAGACCCCGGGACCUUUACUACAGUUUGAUAUUGGUGUUCGGUUCGGCUUGUGUAGGAUAGCUGGGAGACUGUGAAGCUCGGACGCCAGUUCGGGUGGAGUCGUCGUUGAAAUACCAGUCUGGUCGUGCUGGAUGUCUAACCCGGGUCCGUGAUCCGGAUCGGGGACAGUGUCUGAUGGGUAGUUUAACUGGGGCGGUUGCCUCCCAAAGGGUAACGGAGGCGCCCAAAGGUUCCCUCAGCCUGGUUGGCAAUCAGGUGGUGAGUGUAAGUGCACAAGGGAGCUUGACUGUGAGACCGACGGGUCGAGCAGGGACGAAAGUCGGGACUAGUGAUCCGGCGGUGGCUUGUGGAAGCGCCGUCGCUCAACGGAUAAAAGGUACCCCGGGGAUAACAGGCUGAUCUUCCCCAAGAGUCCAUAUCGACGGGAUGGUUUGGCACCUCGAUGUCGGCUCGUCGCAUCCUGGGGCUGGAGUCGGUCCCAAGGGUUGGGCUGUUCGCCCAUUAAAGCGGUACGCGAGCUGGGUUUAGAACGUCGUGAGACAGUUCGGUCCCUAUCCGCUGCGCGCGCAGGAAUAUUGAGAAGGGCUGUCCCUAGUACGAGAGGACCGGGACGGACGAACCUCUGGUGUGCCAGUUGUUCUGCCAAGGGCAUGGCUGGUUGGCUACGUUCGGGAGGGAUAACCGCUGAAAGCAUCUAAGCGGGAAGCCUGCUUCGAGAUGAGUAUUCCCACCCACUUGAUGGGGUAAGGCUCCCAGUAGACGACUGGGUUGAUAGGCCAGAUAUGGAAGCCUGGUAACGGGUGGAGUUGACUGGUACUAAUAGGCCGAGGGCUUGUCCU